rnacentral:rRNA from 1 species
GACAGAGGGGGCAAGCGUUGCUCGGAAUUACUGGGCGUAAAGGGCGCGUAGGCGGAUAGUUUAGUCAGAGGUGAAAGCCCAGGGCUCAACCUUGGAAUUGCCUUUGAUACUGGCUAUCUUGAGUUCGGGAGAGGUGAGUGGAAUGCCGAGUGUAGAGGUGAAAUUCGUAGAUAUUCGGCGGAACACCAGUGGCGAAGGCGACUCACUGGCCCGAUACUGACGCUGAGGCGCGAAAGCGUGGGGAGCAAACAGG